CAAAGAUUAAGCCAUGCAUGUCUAAGUAUAAGCUUUUAUACGGUGAAACUGCGAAUGGCUCAUUAAAACAGUUAUAGUUUAUUUGAUGGUCUCUUUACAUGGAUAACCAUGGUAAUUCUAUGGCUAAUACAUGCGCACUUGCCUCCUUCUCUGGAGGGGCUGUGUUUAUUAGAUACAGAACCAACCCACUUUGUGGAGUCUUGGUGAUUCAUAGUAACCGAACGGAUCGCAUUUGGCUUCGGCCCGCGAUAGAUCUUUCAAGUUUCUGACCUAUCAGCUUUCGACGGUAGGGUAUUGGCCUACCGUGGCAGUGACGGGUAACGGGGAAUUAGGGUUCGAUUCCGGAGAGGGAGCCUGAGAAACGGCUACCACAUCUAAGGAAGGCAGCAGGCGCGCAAAUUACCCAAUGAAAACAGUUUCGAGGUAGUGACGAGAAAUAACAAUACAGGGCAUUUUAUGCUCUGUAAUUGGAAUGAUGGGAAUCCAAACCCCUUUCAGAGUAACAAUUGGAGGGCAAGUCUGGUGCCAGCAGCCGCGGUAAUUCCAGCUCCAAUAGCGUAUAUUAGAGUUGUUGCAGUUAAAAAGCUCGUAGUUGGAUUUCUGUCGUGGUCUUCCAGUUUCGCCUGUAUGGGUGUUUACUUGGUUAGCCCUCGGCUUUCUUC
rnacentral:rRNA from 1 species